rnacentral:misc_RNA from 2 species
AUGAAUUUUAGGACGUUCUUUUUAGAAGUCCGACCCUUUCAUUUUCUUACACUGUGCACACACUUCUUUUUUACACACACUUUUAACACCUUAGUAUAAGAAUGUAAUAGUCUCUUAAUUGAGCAUAAAUAAAAAC